rnacentral:misc_RNA from 1 species
GUGAAUCAUCAAAUUUUUGAACGCAAAUUGCACUCUCUGGUAUUCCGGAGAGCAUGCCUGUUUGAGGGUCAGUAUAAAUAAAAACCGGUGUGGUUGCUGCCUUUCGUGGUGACGCAGCGGAUGAGGGUCGUCUCGCCUUCGGUUAAGUGACCUAAAAUUCCGCAUGAUUAUUUUGAACGUAUUUAAAUGAUUUUACGUAUGUUUGCGAUAUUGAAUACUAGGUGUGGUCAUUCUCAUGACUCGUGCCUAUAAUUUUUCAUUAAAA